rnacentral:misc_RNA from 1 species
AAGUCAUAACAAGGUUUCCGUAGGUGAACCUGCGGAAGGAUCAUUAGAGAUGCCGAAAGGCUUUUCCAAACACCUGUGCACCGGCCUGAAGCCCGAGAGGGUCGACGGCCACUUUACACACAAACUCAUGUCAUGAACGUAACAUAUCAUAAUCAAAAACAACUUUCAACAACGGAUCUCUUGGCUCUC